GUGGGGAAUUUUGGACAAUGGGCGCAAGCCUGAUCCAGCAAUGCCGCGUGCAGGAAGAAGGCCUUCGGGUUGUAAACUGCUUUUGUACGGAACGAAACGGUCCGGGUUAAUACCCUGGGCUAAUGACGGUACCGUAAGAAUAAGCACCGGCUAACUACGUGCCAGCAGCCGCGGUAAUACGUAGGGUGCAAGCGUUAAUCGGAAUUACUGGGCGUAAAGCGUGCGCAGGCGGUUUUGUAAGACAGGCGUGAAAUCCCCGGGCUCAACCUGGGAAUUGCGCUUGUGACUGCAAGGGUGGAGUGCGGCAGAGGGGGAUGGAAUUCCGCGUGUAGCAGUGAAAUGCGUAGAUAUGCGGAGGAACACCGAUGGCGAAGGCAAUCCCCUGGACCUGUACUGACGCUCAUGCACGAAAGCGUGGGGAGCAAACAGGAUUAGAUACCCGAGUAGUCC
rnacentral:rRNA from 1 species